GACGAACGCUGGCGGCGUGCUUAACACAUGCAAGUCGAACGAAGAGCGAUGGAAGCUUGCUUCUAUCAAUCUUAGUGGCGAACGGGUGAGUAACGCGUAAUCAACCUGCCCUUCAGAGGGGGACAACAGUUGGAAACGACUGCUAAUACCGCAUACGAUCUAAUCUCGGCAUCGAGGAUAGAUGAAAGGUGGCCUCUACAUGUAAGCUAUCACUGAAGGAGGGGAUUGCGUCUGAUUAGCUAGUUGGAGGGGUAACGGCCCACCAAAGCGAUGAUCAGUAGCCGGUCUGAGAGGAUGAACGGCCACAUUGGGACUGAGACACGGCCCAGACCCCUACGGGAGGCAGCAGUGGGGAAUCUUCCGCAAUGGACGAAAGUCUGACGGAGCAACGCCGCGUGAGUGAUGACGGCCUUCGGGUUGUAAAGCUCUGUUAAUCGGGACGAAAGGCCUUCUUGCGAAUAGGGAGAAGGAUUGACGGUACCGGAAGAGAAAGCCACGGCUAACUACGUG
rnacentral:rRNA from 1 species